GGCAGUGUGGCCGAGUGGUUAUGGCGCUGCGUUCAGGUGUACCUGAAUUACAACUUCGCAGUGGAGCAAUCCGCGUGGGUUCGAGUCCCACCGCUGUCA